rnacentral:rRNA from 1 species
UACGUAGGUGGCAAGCGUUGUCCGGAUUUACUGGGCGUAAAGAGCGCGCAGGCGGUCGAUUAAGUCGAGUGUGAAAGCCCCCGGCUCAACUGGGGAGGGUCACUUGAUACUGGUCGACUCGAAGGCAGGAGAGGGAAGUGGAAUUCACGGUGUAGUGGUGAAAUGCGUAGAUAUCGGGAGGAACACCAGUGGCGAAGGCGACUUCCUGGCCUGUUCUUGACGCUGAGGCGCGAAAGCUAGGGGAGCAAACGGG